rnacentral:miRNA from 1 species
CUGUGUGUGAGUAUACAUAUUUAUCACACACAGUCACUAUCUUCGAA